rnacentral:rRNA from 1 species
UGGGGAAUCUUGGACAAUGGGCGCAAGCCUGAUCCAGCCAUGCCGCGUGAGUGAAGAAGGCCUUAGGGUUGUAAAGCUCUUUUGGCAGGGACGAUAAUGACGGUACCUGCAGAAUAAGCCCCGGCAAACUUCGUGCCAGCAGCCGCGGUAAUACGAAGGGGGCUAGCGUUGUUCGGAAUUACUGGGCGUAAAGCGCACGUAGGCGGGUCGUUAAGUCAGGGGUGAAAUCCCGGAGCUCAACUCCGGAACUGCCUUUGAUACUGGCGAUCUAGAGAUCGGAAGAGGUUAGUGGAAUUCCCAGUGUAGAGGUGAAAUUCGUAGAUAUUGGGAAGAACACCAGUGGCGAAGGCGGCUAACUGGUCCGAUACUGACGCUGAGGUGCGAAAGCGUGGGGAGCAAACAGG